GUGCCAGCCGCCGCGGUAAUACGGAGGGUGCAAGCGUUACUCGGAAUCACUGGGCGUAAAGAGUGCGCAGGCGGGUAGUCAAGUCAGAUGUGAAAUCCUAUAGCUUAACUAUAGAACUGCAUUUGAAACUGAUUAUCUAGAGUGUGGGAGAGGUAGGUGGAAUUCUUGGUGUAGGGGUAAAAUCCGUAGAGAUCAAGAGGAAUACUCAUUGCGAAGGCGACCUACUGGAACAUUACUGACGCUCAUGCACGAAAGCGUGGGGAGCAAACAGGAUUAGAUACCCUGGUAGUCCACGCCCUAAACGAUGAAUGCUAGUUGUUGCCCUGCUUGACAGGGCAGUAAUGCAGCUAACGCAUUAAGCAUUCCGCCUGGGGAGUACGGUCGCAAGAUUAAA
rnacentral:rRNA from 1 species